rnacentral:rRNA from 1 species
AUGAACGCUGGCGGCGUGCCUAAUACCUGCCAGUCGCGCGAACAGACGAGGAGCUUGCUCCUCUGACGUUAGCGGCGGACGGGUGAGUAACACGUGGAUAACCUACCUAUAAGACUGGGAUAACUUCGGGAAACCGGAGCUAAUACCGGAUAAUAUAUUGAACCGCAUGGUUCAAUAGUGAAAGACGGUUUUGCUGUCACUUAUAGAUGGAUCCGCGCCGCAUUAGCUAGUUGGUAAGGUAACGGCUUACCAAGGCAACGAUGCGUAGCCGACCUGAGAGGGUGAUCGGCCACACUGGAACUGAGACACGGUCCAGACUCCUACGGGAGGCAGCAGUAGGGAAUCUUCCGCAAUGGGCGAAAGCCUGACGGAGCAACGCCGCGUGAGUGAUGAAGGUCUUCGGAUCGUAAAACUCUGUUAUUAGGGAAGAACAAAUGUGUAAGUAACUAUGCACGUCUUGACGGUACCUAAUCAGAGAGCCACGGCUAACUACGUG